UACGUAGGGUGCAAGCGUUAUCCGGGAUUAUUGGGCGUAAAGAGCUCGUAGGCGGUUUGUCGCGUCUGCUGUGAAAACUGGGGGCUCAACCCCCAGCCUGCAGUGGGUACGGGCAGACUAGAGUGCGGUAGGGGAGAUUGGAAUUCCUGGUGUAGCGGUGGAAUGCGCAGAUAUCAGGAGGAACACCGAUGGCGAAGGCAGAUCUCUGGGCCGUAACUGACGCUGAGGAGCGAAAGCAUGGGGAGCGAACAGG
rnacentral:rRNA from 1 species